AAAAGCCAAAUUCCACCACAACACUUUUUGCAUUUUAAAUCUUCCCUAAGCUCAUCUGCAAAAUCAUUUCUGUUUGCUUUAUGAAGAAAUGGAAGGUCAUUGCUCUAGGUUAAGCAGAGAAUGCUUCUUGGGAUAGUUGCAAAAGUGUUCAAUCAGUUAUUUGCCAUUAAGUUGUCACUUUACUAGCGAAGAGAUCUGAAGAGUCCAUUCCUCUGAACAUCAGUUUUUCAUCUAUAAAAAGAGAACGAAGGUACAUGGUCUGGCCACCUCCCAGGAUUGUUAUAAGGGUCAAAUGAGAUCAUAAUCUAGUGAAAGUACGGUUGGUGCUGGUGAUGUUAUUUAACACUCAGCUGGACUAUUUUGUUGAUGAGGAGGCUGAAAUUCAGGGAGGCAACCUCAGCAGCAGCAAAGAAAUAAACAGCAGAAGUGGGAUUUACAGAAGGGCCGUGUGAUGCUUAGAGUCCAUGGUCAGGCCAGCGCUGUGACACAGUCCUAGCCCUGGAGGACGAGCAGUCCUCUUCUCGAUCUACAGAAGACAUUACUACAGCGUCUUCAUGCACCCCAAGCCAUGAACAUCACCACCCCCAAAGUUAGGUCUGUCCUGUGCCAUAACUUUGCCCUGCCUCCUCUUCUCUGCCUUAUUCUCUUGGACAGCAGGAGGGCUGGCCCCAACCCCAAUCUGAGCUUGCUUGAUCCUAGCUGGCUUCCUGCCAAGAGCUCAACCCCCUGCUCCCCCAGAGCUCGGGUCUCUCCUGCCUGACUUGGAGGCAGCAUGGAGCAGUACAGAAGGGCUUAUACACAGGCUCUCUUCUAUGUGGCCCAGUUUCCUUAUCUAUGAAAUGGAGGUAAUACUAUCUCCUCCUAAGGUUGAAUGAAAUCAUCUAUGUAAAGUGCUCAGCACAGGGCAUGUCUCCUGAGGUGGGGGAGGGGGAAGCUCCCAUCUGCCUAUAUCCCUCAAGACUGCACUUAGACCACCCUCCCUGCAGAGCCUUGGAGAGUCACUUGGAUUUGUAAGCUCCUUGGAUGCUGUACACUGCCAGGUCCACGGCGACGUCUGAAACCAAGCCAGUUUCUUCAGUCCACAUCCUAUCAGCCAAGGGGGCAGGGUUCUACUUUCCCUCCUGACAACCUUGGUUGAGAUCCCAGCAUACCCACUCCUGUUGCCACACUUCAGAGCAGGACCACUCAACAGAAUUUUCUGGGUGAUGGAACUGUUCUAGAUCUGUGCCGCCCAAAAUGGAAGCCAGUGGCCACGAGUGGCUAUUGAGAAGUUGAAAUGUGGUAAGUAUGACUAAGGAAUAGAAAUUUAUAACCUUU